ACUCCUACGGGAGGCAGCAGUGGGGAAUUUUGGACAAUGGGCGCAAGCCUGAUCCAGCAAUGCCGCGUGAGUGAAGAAGGCCUUCGGGUUGUAAAGCUCUUUUGUCAGGGAAGAAACGGUGAAGGCUAAUAUCUUUUGCUAAUGACGGUACCUGAAGAAUAAGCACCGGCUAACUACGUGCCAGCAGCCGCGGUAAUACGUAGGGUGCAAGCGUUAAUCGGAAUUACUGGGCGUAAAGCGUGCGCAGGCGGUUUUGUAAGUUUGUCGUGAAAUCCCCGGGCUCAACCUGGGAAUGGCGAUGAAGACUGCAAGGCUAGAAUCUGGCAGAGGGGGGUAGAAUUCCACGUGUAGCAGUGAAAUGCGUAGAGAUGUGGAGGAACACCGAUGGCGAAGGCAGCCCCCUGGGUCAAGAUUGACGCUCAUGCACGAAAGCGUGGGGAGCAAACAGGAUUAGAUACCCUGGUAGUCCACGCCCUAAACGAUGUCUACUAGUUGUCGGGUUUUAAUUAACUUGGUAACGCAGCUAACGCGUGAAGUAGACCGCCUGGGGAGUACGGUCGCAAGAUUAAAACACAAAGGAAUUGACGGGGACCCCCACAAGCGGUGGAGCAUGUGG
rnacentral:rRNA from 1 species